CCUACGGGAGGCUGCAGUGAGGAAUAUUGGUCAAUGGACGAAAGCCUGAACCAGCCAAGUAGCGUGAAGGAUGACGGCCCUAUGGGUUGUAAACUUCUUUUAUAUGGGAAUAAAGUGUUCCACGUGUGGGACUUUGUAUGUACCUUAUGAAUAAGGAUCGGCUAACUACGUGCCAGCAGCCGCGGUAAUACGGAGGUUCCGUGCGUUAUCCGGAUUUAUUGGGUUUAAAGGGAGCGUAGGUGGAUUGUUAAGUCAGUUGUGAAAGUUUGCGGAUCAACCGUAGAAUUGCAGUUGAAACUGGCGGGCUUGAGUACGGUAGAGGCGGGCGGAAUUCGUGGUGUAGCGGUGAAAUGCUUAGAUAUGACGAAGAACACCGAUUGCGAAGGCAGUUUGCUGGACUGCAACUGACGCUGAGGCGCGAAAGUGUGGGUAUCAAACAGGAUUAGAUACCCGGGUAGUC
rnacentral:rRNA from 1 species